rnacentral:misc_RNA from 1 species
AACGCACGAGACCUGCGGACCUGCGGAGGGAUCAUUAUUGAAUAAACUUGAUGUAGUUGAGCUGACUCUCUCGGGAGUAUGUGCUCGCUCGUCAUCUUUAUCUUUCCACCUGUGCACUUUUUGUAGAUUUGGAUAUAACUGUCCGAGGCAACUCGGUUGGGAGGGAUGCUGUCUCUGAUGGCUUUCCUUGUAUGUCCAAGUCUAUGUUUUCAUAUACUCCAAGUAUGUAACAGAAUGUAU